UCUAAACUGUAGUCAAAAAUGUUAAUAUCGAUCAAAAUUAGUCAAAGAAGCAAAGUGCUCAUAAAAAAAAGAAUUUUACAAUUUCCUGCAUUUGAAAUCCCCCCAAAACGUAAACUGUGGUUGGCGUGACUUGAACUUGGUGUUCCCCAGUGAAAGGUCAAAGGACAAUUGCAGUGCUUACCAUAUCGAAGCCGACCUCAUAGUGAGUGCCUCUGGUAUAGAGAACAGGAAUCGCUUGGCGACGGGGCAAAAUCUUUCCGGACGACAUGCUCGAUAGCAUUUGGUGGGCGGCGGGGGAGGUGAAAAUGGCGGCGUUUGCUUUCGUCCUCGGUUAUUUUGUGUGGACCGUUUAUCGUUCCUCUCACUUCUUGGCACUGAAAUUCGAGCAGAACAGCGAUGAGCAAUGACUUUAAAUCUAUCUCUCUCUCUCUCUCUCUUGCUUUCGUUCGCACACUAAAACUGUAAACUCUCUCUUUAGUUUGCGUUCGUAUGUGUGUAAGAGUAUGUGUGCAAGUGUAUGUGUGUGUUUAGGCUUUCGCGACGCGUCUCAGUUUGUUAUCAACGAAUCGAUCGCGUAAGAAAAGCAAAAGCAAACAAAACUAAAUUAAAAUUGCAAAUUGCAACGCUGGAAAACCAAAAACACAACAACAAUCCAGACUUAAUAAUUAAUUAAUAUGUCAAAAAACAAUAAAAAAAAACACAACAAAUUAAUACGCACACACACAAUUUCAAUGUUUGUGUCAACAAUAAUUUUUAGCUACAAAUAAUUCGCGCUAAAAUAA